rnacentral:lncRNA from 1 species
AGGUCUCGUCGCAUUCCGUGUGCGGCGGACGAAGUUGGCCAGCCCCACCCCCCAAGGCUAUAGCCCACCCACUUUUGUGGCCUUUUUCCGCUGGACGAACUUGGCGCCCCGGCCUUCGGGCGGUUAUUUUUGGGCACGGCUUUGCCCGCGGCCUAUUUUUGGCACAUGGAGGCCCCUCGCAAAGUCUCGCGCAUUCUGAGUCCGGCGGACGAAGUUGGCCAGCCCCACCCUCCAAGGCUAUAGCCCACCCGUUUUUGUGGCCUUUUUCCGCUGGAUGAACUUGGCGCCCCGCCUUCGGGCAGUUAUUUUUGGGUGCGGCUUUACCCACGGCCUAUUUUUGGUGCACGGAGGCCCCUCGCAAAGUCUCGCGGCAUUCCGAGUCCGGCAGACGAAGUUGGCCAGCCCCACCCCCCCAGGCUAUAGCCCACCCGUUUUUGUGGCCUUUUUCCGCUGGACGAACUUGGCGCCCCGGCCUUCGGCGGUUUUUUUUGGGCGCGGCUUUGUCCGUGGCCUAUUUUUCGCACACGGAGGCCCCUCGCAAAGUCUCGCGGCAUUCCGAGUCCGGCGGACGAAGUUGGCCAGCCCCACCCCCCAAGGCUAUAGCCCGCCCGUUUUUGUGGCCUUUUUCCGCUGGACGAACUUGGCGCCCCGGCCUUCGGCUGGUUAUUUUUCGGCGCAGCUUUGCCCGCGGCCUAUUUUUGGCACACGGAGGCCCCUCGCAAAGUCUCGUGGCAUUCCGAGUCUGGCGGACGAAGUCGGCCAGCCCCACCCCCCAAGGCUAUAGCCCACCCGUUUUUGUGGCCUUUUUCCGCGGGACGAACUUCACGCCUCGGCCUUCGGGCGGUUAUUUUUGGGCGCGGCUUUGCCUGCAGCCUAUUUUUGGCACACGGAGGCCCCUCGCAAGGUCUCGUCGCAUUCCGUGUGCGGCGGACGAAGUUGGCCAGCCCCACCCCCCAAGGCUAUAGCCCACCCGCUUUUGUGGCCUUUUUCCGCUGGACGAACUUGGCGCCCCGGCCUUUUGGCGGUUAUUUUUGGGCGCGCCUUCGCCCGCGGCCUAUUUUUGGCACACGGAGGCCCCUCGCAAAGUCUCGCGGCAUUCCGAGUUCGGCGGACGAAGUUGGCCAGCCACACCCCCCAAGGCUAUAGCCCACCCGUUUUCGUGGCCUUUUUCCGCUGGACGAACUUGGCGCUCCAGCCUUCGGGCGGUGUUUUUUGGGUACGGCAUUGCCCGCGGCCUAUUUUUGGCACAUGGAGGCCCCUCGCAAAGUCUCGCGGCAUUCCGAGUCCGGCGGACGAAGUUGGCCAGCCCCACCCCCCAAGGCUAUAGCCCACCCGUUUUUGUGGCCUUUUUCCGCUGGACGAAAUUGGCGCCCCGGCCUUCGGGCAGCUAUUUUUGGGCGCGGCUUUGCCCGCGGCCUACUUUUGGCACACGGAGGCGCCUUGCAAAGUCUCGCGGCAUUCCGAGUCCGGCGGACGAGGUUGGCCAGCCCCACCCCCCAAGGCUAUAGCCCACCCGUUUUUGUGGCCUUUUUCCUCUGGACGAACUUGGCGCCCCGGCCUUCGGGCGGUUAUUUUUGGGCGCGGCUUUGCCCGCGGCCUAUUUUUGGCACACGGAGGCCCCUCGCAAAGUCUCGCGCCUUUCCGAGUCCGGCGAACGAAGUUGGCCAGCCCCACCACCNNNNNNNNNNNNNNNNNNNNNNNNNNNNNNNNNNNNNNNNNNNNNNNNNNNNNNNNNNNNNNNNNNNNNNNNNNNNNNNNNNNNNNNNNNNNNNNNNNNNCACCCGUUUUUGUGGCCUUUUUCCGCUGGACGAAAUUGGCGCCCCGGCCUUCGGGCGGUUAUUUUUGGGCGCGGCUUUGCCCGCGGCAUACUUUUGGCACACGGUGGUGGCUUGCAAAGUCUCGCGACAUUCCUAGUCCGGCGGACGAGGUUGGCCAGCCCCACCCCCCAAGGCUAUAGGCUACCCGUUUUUGUGGCCUUUUUCCGCUGGACGAACUUGGCGCCCCGGCCUUCGGGCGGUUAUUUUUGGGCGCGGCUUUGCCCGCGGCCUAUUUUUGGCACACGGAGGCCCCUCGCAAAGUCUCGUGGCAUUCCGAGUCCGGCAGCCGAAGUUGGCCGGCCCCACCCCCCAAGGCUAUAGCCCACCUGUUUUUGUGGCCUUUUUCCGCUGGACGAACUUGGCGCCCCAGCCUUCGGGCAUUUAUUUUUGGGCGCGGCUUUGACCGUGGCCUAUUUUUGGCACACGGAGGCACCUCGGAAAGUCUCGCGGCAUUCCGAGUCCGGCGGACGAAGUCGGCCAGCCCCACCCCCCAAGGCUAUAGCCCACCCGUUUUGUGGCUUUUCCGCUGGACGAAAUGGGCGCCCCGGCUUUCGGGCGGUUAUUUUUGGGCGCGGCUUUGCCCGCGGCUUACUUUUGGCACACGGAGGCGCCUGGCAAAGUCUCGCGGCAUUCCGAUUCCGGCGGACGAGUUUGGCCAGCCCCAACCCCCCCAGGCUAUACCCCACCCGUUUUUGUGGCCUUUUUCCUCUGGACGAACUUGGCGCCCCGGCCUUCGGGCGGUUAUUUUUGGGUGUGGCUUUGCCUGCGGCCUAUUUUUGGUACAAGGAGGCCCCUCGCAAAGUCUCACGGAUUCCGAGUCCGGCGGACGAAGUUGGCCAGCCCCACCACCCAAGGCUAUAGCCCACCCGUUUUUGUGGCCUUUUUCCGCUGGACGAACUUGGCGCCCCGGCCUUCGGGCGGUUAUUUUUGGGCACGGCUUUGACCGCAGCCUAUUUUUGGCACACGGAGGCCCCUCGCAAAGUCUCGCGGCAUUCCGAGUCCGGCGGACGAAGUUGGCCAGCCCCACCCACCAAGGCUAUUGCCCACCCGUUUUUGUGGCCUUUUUCCGCUGGACGAACUUAGCGCCCUGGCCUUCGGGCGGUUAUUUUUGGGCGCAGCUUUGCCCGUGGCCUAUUUUUGGCACACAGAGGCCCCUCGCAAAGUCUCACGGUAUUCCGAGUCCGGCAGAUGAAGUUGGCCAUCCCCACCCCCCAAGGCUAUAGCCCACCCGUUUUUGUGGCCUUUUUCCGCUGGACGAACUUGGCGCCCCGGCCUUAGGGCGGUUAUUUUAGGGCGCGGCUGUGUCCGAUGCUUAUUUUUGGCACACGGAGGCCCCUCGAAAAGUCUCACGGCAUUCCGAGUCCGGCGGACGAAGUCGGCCAGCCCCACCCCCCAUGGCUAUAGCCCACCCGUUUUUGUGUCCUUUUUCCGCUGGACGAACUUGGCGCCCCGGCCUUCGGGCGGUUAUUUUUGGGCGCGGCUUUGCCCGCGGCCUAUUUUUGGCACAUGGAGGCCCCUCGCAAAGUCUCGCGGCAUUCCGAGUCCGGCGGACGAAGUUGGCCAGCCCCACCCCCCAAGGCUAUAUCCCACCCGUUUUUGUGGCCUUUUUCCGCUGGACGAACUUGGCGCCCCGGCCUUUUGGCGGUUAUUUUUGGGCGCGGCUUCGCUCGUAGCCUAUUUUUGGCACACGGAGGCCCCUCGCAAAGGCUCACGGCAUUCCGAGUUCGGCGGACGAAGUUGGCCAGCCCCACCCCCCAAGGCUAUAGCCCACCCGUUUUCGUGGCCUUUUUCCGCUGGACGAACUUGGCGCUCCGGCCUUCGGGCGGUGUUUUUUGGGUACGGCAUUGCCCAUGGCCUAUUUUUGGCACAUGGAGGCCCCUCGCAAAGUCUCACGGCAUUCCGAGUCCGGCGGACGAAGUUGGCCAGCCCCACCCCCCAAGGCUAUAGCCCACCCGUUUUUGUGGCCUUUUUCCGCUGGACGAACUUGGCGCCCCGGCCUUCGGGCAGCUAUUUUUGGACACGGCUUUGCCCGCGGCAUACUUUUGGCACACGGAGGCACCUUGCAAAGUCUCACGGCAUUCCGAGUCCGGCGGACGAGGUUGGCCAGCCCCACCCCCCAAGGCUAUAGCCCACCCGUUUUUGUGGCCUUUUUCCUCUGGACGAACUUGGCGCCCCGGCAUUCGGGCGGUUAUUUUUGGGCACGGCUUUGCCCACGGAAUAUUUUUGGCAAACGGAGGCCCCUCGCAAAGUCUCGUGCCAUACCGAGUUCGCCGGACGAAGUUGGGCAGCCCCACCCCCCAAGGCUAUAGCCCACCCGUUUUCGUGGCCUUUUUCCGCUGGACGAACUUGGCGCCCCGUCCUUCGGGCGGUUUUUUUUGGGUAUGGCAUGGUCCGCGGCCUAUUUUUCACACACGGAGGCCCCUCGCAAAGUCUCGUGGCAUUCCGAGUCCGGCGGCCGAAGUUGGCCGGCCCCACCCCCCAAGGCUAUAGCCCACCUGUUUUUGUGGCCUUUUUCCGCUGGACGAACUUGGCGCCCCGGCCUUCGGGCAUUUAUUUUUGGGCGCGGCUUUGACCGUGGCCUAUUUUUGGCUCACGGAGGCCCCUCGCAAAGUCUCGCGGCAUUCCGAGUCCGGCGGACGAAGUUGGCCAGCCCCACCCCCCAAGGCUAUAGCCCACCCGUUUUUGUGGCCUUUUUCUGCUGGAUGAAAUUGGCGCCCCGGCCUUCGGGCGGCUAUUUUUGGGUCAAGUUUGCCCGCGGCCUACUUUUGGCACACGGACGCGCAUUGUAAAGUCUUGCGGCAUUCCGAGUCCGGCGGACGAGGUUGGCCAGCCCCACCCCCCAAGGCUAUACCCCACCCGUUUUUGUGGCCUUUUUCCUCUGGACGAACUUGGCGCCCCGGCCUUCGGGCUGUUAUUUUUGGGCGUGGCUUUGCCUGCGGCCUAUUUUUGGUACAAGGAGGCCCCUCGCAAAGUCUCGCGGCAUUCCGAGUCCGGCGGACGAAGUUGGCCAGCCCCACCACCCAAGGCUAUAGCCCACCCAUUUUUGUGGCCUUUUUCCGCUGGACGAACUUGGCGCCCCGGCCUUCGGGCGGUUAUUUUUGGGCAAGGCUUUGACCGUAGCCUAUUUUUGGCACACGGAGGCCCCUCGCAAACUCUCGCGGCAUUCCGAGUCCGGCGGACGAAGUUGGCCAGCCCGACCCACCAAGGCUAUUGCCCACCCGUUUUUGCAGCCUUUUUCCGCUGGACGAACUUGGCGCCCCGGCCUUCGGGCGGUUAUUUUUGGGCGCGGCUUUGCCUGCGGCCUACUUUUGGCACCCGGAGGUGCCUUGCAAAGUCUCACGGCAUUCCUAGUCCGGCGGACGAGGUUGGCCAGCCCCACCCCCCAAGGCUAUAGCCCACCCGUUUUUGUGGCCUUUUUCCGCUGGACGAACAUGGCGCCCCGGCCUUCGGGCGUUUAUUUUUGGGCGCGGCUUUGCCCGCGGCCUAUUUUUGGCACACGGAGGCCCCUCGCAAAGUCUCGUGGCAUUCCGAGUCCGGCGGCCGAAGUUGGCCGGCCCCACCCCCCAAGGCUAUAGCCCACCUUUUUUUGUGGCCUUUUUCCGCUGGACGAACUUGGCGCCCCGGCUUUCGGGCGGCUAUUUUUGGGUGCGGCUUUGCCCGCGACCUACUUUUGGCACACGGAGGUGCCUUGCAAAGUCUCGCGGCAUUCCGAGUCCGGCGGACGAGGUUGGCCAGCCCCACCCCCCAAGGCUAUACCCCACCCGUUUUUGUGGCCUUUUUCCUCUGGACGAACUUGGCGCCCCGGCCUUCGGGCAGUUAUUUUUGGGCGCGGCUUUGCCCGCGCCCUAUUUUUGGCACACGGAGGCCCCUCGCAAAGUCUCGCGGCAUUUCCAAUUCCGGCGGACGAAGUUGGCCACCCCCACCCCCCAAGGCUAUAGCCCACCCGUUUUUGUGGCCUUUUUCUGCUGGACGAAAUUGGCGCCCCGGCCUUCGGGCUGCCAUUUUUGGGUCAGGCUUUGCCCGCGGCCUACUUUUUGCACACGGAGGCGCCUUGUAAAGUCUCGCGGCAUUCCGAGUCCGGCGGACGAGGUUGGCCAGCCCCACCCCCCAAGGCUAUACCCCACCCGUUUUUGUGGCCUUUUUCCUCUGGACGAACUUUGCGCCCCGGCCUUCGGGCAGUUAUUUUUGGGCGUGGCUUUGCCUGCGGCCUAUUUUUGGUACAAGGAGGCCCCUCGCAAAGUCUCGCGGCAUUCCGAGUCCGGCGGACGAAGUUGGCCAGCCCCACCACCCAAGGCUAUAGCCCACCCGUUUUUGUGGCCUUUUUCCGCUGGACGAACUUGGCGCCCCGGCCUUCGGGCAGUUAUUUUUGGGUACGGCUUUGACCGCAGCCUAUUUUUGGCACACGGAGGCCCCUCGCAAAGUCUCGCGGCAUUCCGAGUCCGGCGGACGAAGUUGGCCAGCCCCACCCACCAAGGCUAUUGCCCACCCGUUUUUGUGGCCUUUUUCCGCUGGACGAACUUGGCGCCCCGGCCUUCGGGCAGUUAUUUUUGGGCGUGGCUUUGCCCGUGGCCUACUUUUUGCACCUGGAGGUGCCUUGUAAAGUCUCGCGGCAUUCCUAGUCCGGCGGACGAGGUUGGCCAGCCCCACCCCCCAAGGCUAUAGCCCACCCGUUUUUGUGGCCUUUUUCCGCUGGACAAACUUGGCGCUCCGGCCUUCGGGCGUUUAUUUUUGGGCGCGGCUUUCCCACAGCCUAUUUUUGGCACACGAAGGCCCCUCGUAAAGUCUCGUGGCAUUCCGAGUCCGGCGGACGAAGUGGGCCAGCCCCACCCCCCAAGGCUAUAGCCCACCCGUUUUUGUGGCCUUUUUCCGCUGGACGAACUUGGCGCCCCGGCCUUCGGGCAUUUAUUUUUGGCGCGGCUUUGCCCGUGGUCUAUUUCUGGCACACGGAGGCCCCUCGCAAAGUCUCACGGCAUUCCGAGUCCGGCGGACGAAGUUGGACAGCCCCACACCCCAAGGCUAUAGCCCACCCGUUUUUGUGGCCUUUUUCCGCUGGACGAACAUGGCGCCCCGGCCUUCGGGCGUUUAUUUUUGGGCAUUCCGAGUCCGGCGGCCGAAGUUGGCCGGCACCACCCCCCAAGGCUAUAGCCCACCUUUUUUUGUGGCCUUUUUCCGCUGGACGAACUUGGCGCCCCGGCUUUCGGGCGGCUAUUUUUGGGUGCGGCUUUGCUCGCGACCGACUUUUGGCACACGGAGGUGCCUUGCAAAGUCUCGCGGCAUUCCGAGUCCGGCGGACGAGGUUGGCCAGCCCCACCCCCCAAGGCUAUACCCCACCCGUUUUUGUGGCCUUUUUCCUCUGGACGAAUUUGGCGCCCCGGCCUUCGGGCCGUUAUUUUUGGGCGUGGCUUUGCCUGCGGCCUAUUUUUGGUACAAGGAGGCCCCUCGCAAAGUCUCGCGGCAUUCCGAGUCCGGCGGACGAAGUUGGCCAGCCCCACCACCCAAGGCUAUAGCCCACCCGUUUUUGUGGCCUUUUUCCGCUGGACGAACUUGGCGCCCCGGCCUUCGGGCGGUUAUUUUUGGGCACGGCUUUGACCGCAGCCUAUUUUUGGCACACGGAGGCCCCUCGCAAAGUCUCGCGGCAUUCCGAGUCCGGCGGACGAAGUUGGCCAGCCCCACCCACCAAGGCUAUUGCCCACCCGUUUUUGUGGCCUUUUUCCGCUGGACGAACUUGGCGCCCCGGCCUUCGGGCGGUUAUUUUUGGGCGAGGCUUUGCCCGUGGCCUAAUUUUUGCACCUGGAGGUGCCUUGUAAAGUCUCGCGGCAUUCCUAGUCCGGCGGACGAGGUUGGCCAGCCCCACCCCCCAAGGCUAUAGCCCACCCGUUUUUGUGGCCUUUUUCCGCUGGACAAACUUGGCGCUCCGGCCUUCGGGCGUUUAUUUUUGGGCGCGGCUUUCCCACAGCCUAUUUUUGGCACACGAAGGCCCCUCGCAAAGUCUCGUGGCAUUCCGAGUCCGGCGGACGAAGUGGGCCAGCCCCACCCCCCAAGGCUAUAGCCCACCCGUUUUUGUGGCCUUUUUCCGCUGGACGAACUUGGCGCCCCGGCCUUCGGGCAUUUAUUUUUGGCGCGGCUUUGCCCAUGGUCUAUUUCUGGCACACGGAGGCCCCUCGCAAAGUCUCACGGCAUUCCGAGUCCGGCGGACGAAGUUGGACAGCCCCACCCCCCAACGCUAUAGCCCACCCGUUUUUGUGGCCUUUUUCCGCUGGACGAAAUUGGCGCCCCGGCCUUCGGGCGGUUAUUUUUGGGCACAGCUUUGCCCGCGGCCUAUUUUUGGCACACGAAGGCCCCUCGUAAAGUCUCGUGGCAUUCCGAGUCCGGCUGCCGAAGUUGGCCGGCCCCACCCCCCAAGGCUAUAGCCGACCUGUUUUUGUGGCCUUUUUCCGCUGGACGAACUUGGCGCCCCGGCCUUCGGGCAUUUAUUUUUGGGCGCGGCUUUGACCGUGGCCUAUUUUUGGCACACGGAGGCACCUCGCAAAGUCUCGCGGCAUUCCGAGUCCGGCGGACGAAGUUGGCCAGCCCCACCCCCCAAGGCUAUACCCCACCCGUUUUUGUGGCCUUUUUCCUCUAGACGAACUUGGCGCCCCGGCCUUCGGGCGGUUAUUUUUGGGCGUGGCUUUGCCUGCGGCUUAUUUUUGGUACAAGGAGGCCCCUCGCAAAGUCUCGCGGCAUUCCGAGUCCGGCGGACGAAGUUGGCCAGCCCCACCACCCAAGGCUAUAGCCCACCCGUUUUUGUGGCCUUUUUCCGCUGGACGAACUUGGCGCCCCGGCCUUCGGGCGGUUAUUUUUGGGCACGGCUUUGACCGCACCCUAUUUUUGGCACAUGGAGGCCCCUCGCAAAGUCUCGCGGCAUUCCGAGUCCGGCGGAUGAAGUUGGCCAGCCCCCCCCCCCAAGGCUAUAGCCCACCCAUUUUUGCGGACUUUUUCCGCUGUACGAACUUGGCGCCCCGGCCUUCGGGUGGUUAUUUUUGGGCGCGGCUUUGCCCGCGGCCUAUUUUUGGAACACGGAGGCACCUCGUAAAGUCUCGCGCCAUUCCGAGUCUGGCGGACGAAGUGGGCCAGCCCCACCCCCCAAGGCUAUAGCCCACCCGUUUUUGUGGCCUUUUUCCGCUGGACGAACUUGGCGCCCCGGCCUUCGGGGUGUUAUUUUUGGGCGCGGCUGUGCCCGCGGCCUAUUUUUGGCAAACGGAGGCGCCUCGUAAACUCUGGCGCCAUUCCGAGUCCGGCGGACGAAGUUGGCCAGCCCCACCCCCCAAGGCUAUAGCCCACCCGUUUUUGUGGCCUUUUUCCGCUAGACGAACUUGGCGCCCCGGCCUUCGGGCUGUUAUUUUUUGGCACGGCUGUGUCCGCGGCCUAUUUAUGGCAAACGGAGGCACCUCGCAAAGUCUCGCGCCAUUCCGAGUCCGGCGGACGAAGUUGGCCAGCACCACCCCCAAAGGCUAUAGCCCACCCGUUUUUGUGGCCUUUUUCCGCUGGACGAACUUGGCGCCCCGGCCUUCGGGCUGUUAUUUUUGGACGCGGCUUUAUCCGCGGCCUAUUUUUGGCACAGGGAGGUGCCUCGCAAAGUCUCGCGCCAUUCCGAGUCCGGCGGACGAAGUUGGCCAGCCCCACCCCCCAAGGCUAUAGCCCACCCGUUUUUGUGGCCUUUUUCCGCUAGACGAACUUGGCGUCCCGGCCUUCGGGCGGUUAUUUUUGGAUGCGGCUGUGCCCGCGGCUUAUUUUUGGCACACAGAGGCGCCUCGCAAAGUCUUACGCGAUUCCUAGUCCGGCGGACGAAGUUGGCCAGCCCCACCCCCCAAGGCUAUAGCCCACCCGUUUUUGUCGCCUUUUUCCGCUGGACGAACUUGGCGCCCUGGCCUUUUGGCGGUUAUUUUUGGGCGUGGCUUUGCCCGCGGCCUAUUUUUGGCACACGGAGAACCCUCGCAAAGUCUCGCGGCAUUCCGAGUCCGGCGGACGAAGUUGGCCCGCCACACCCCCCAAGGCUAUAGCCCACCCGUUUUUGUGGCCUUUUUCCACAGGACGAACUUGGCGCCCCGGCCUUCGGGCGGUUAUUUUUGGACGCGGCUUUGGCCGCGGCCUAAUUUUGGCACCCGGAGGCGCCUUACAAAGUCUCGCGGCAUUCCGAGUCCGGCGGACGGGGUUGGCCAGCCCCACCCCCCAAGGCUAUAGCCCACCCGUUUUUGUGGCCUUUUUCCGCUGGACGAACUUGGCGCCCCGGCCUUCGGGCGGUUAUUUUUGGACGCGGCUUUCCCACAGCCUAUUUUUGGCACACGAAGGCCCCUCGCAAAGUCUCGUGGCAUUCCGAGUCCGGCGGACGAAGUGGGCCAGCCCCACCCCCCAAGGCUAUAGCCCACCCGUUUUUGUGGCCUUUUUCCGCUGGACGAACUUGGCGCCCCGGCCUUCGGGCAUUUAUUUUUGGGCGCGGCUUUGCCCGUGGUCUAUUUCUGGCACACGGAGGCCCCUCGCAAAGUCUCACGGCAUUCCGAGUCCGGCGGACGAAGUUGGACAGCCCCACCCCCCAACGCUAUAGCCCACCCGUUUUUGUGGCCUUUUUCCGCUGGACGAAAUUGGCGCCCCGGCCUUCGGGCGGUUAUUUUUGGGCACGGCUUUGACCGCAGCCUAUUUUUGGCACACGGAGGCCCCUCGCAAACUCUCGCGGCAUUCCAAGUCCGGCGGACGAAGUGGGCCAGCCCCACCCACCAAGGCUAUUGCCCACCCAUUUUUGUGGCCUUUUUCCGCUGGACGAACUUGGCGCCCUGGCCUUCGGGCGGUUAUUUUUGGGCGCGGCUUUGCCCGCGGCCUAUUUUUGGCACACAGAGGACCCUCGCAAAGUCUCACGGUAUUCCGAGUCCGGCGGCUGAAGUUGGCCAGCCCCACCCCCCAAGGCUAUAGCCCACCCGUUUUUGUGGCCUUUUUCCGCUGGACGAACUUGGCGCCCCGGCCUUCGGGCGGUUAUUUUUGGGCGCGGCUUUGUCCGCGGCCUAUUUUUGGCAUACGGAUGCCCCUCGGAAAGUCUAGCGGCAUUCCGACUCCGGCGGACGAAGUUGGCCAGCCCCACCCCGCAAGGCUAUAGCCCACUCGUUUUCGUGGCCUUUUUCCGCUGGACGAACUUGGCGCCCCGGCCUUCGGGCGGUUAUUUUUGGGUACGGCUUUGCCCGUAGCCUAUUUUUGGCACACGGAGGCCCCUCGCAAAGUCUCGCGGCAUUCCGAGUCCGGCGGACGAAGUUGGCCAGCCCCACCCCCCAAGGCUAUAGCCCACCCGUUUUUGUGGCCUUUUCCCGCAGGACGAACUUGGCGCCCCGGCCUUCGGGCUGUUAUUUUUGGGCGUGGCUUUGUCCGUGGCCUAUUUUUGGCACACGGGGGCCCCUCGUAAAGUCUCGCGGCAUUCCGAGUCCGGCGGAUGAAGUUGGCCAGUCCCACCCCCCAAGGCUAUAGCCCACCCGUUUUUGUGGCCUUUUUCCGCUGGACGAACUUGGCGCCCCGGCCUUCGGUCGGUUAUUUUUGGGCGCGGCUUUGCCCAAGGCCUAUUUUUGGCACACGGAGAUGCCUCGCAAAAUCUCGCGCCAUUCCGAGUCCGGCGGACGAAGUUGGCCAGCCCCACCCCCCAAGGCUAUAGCCCACCCGUUUUUGUGGCCUUUUUCCGCUGGACGAACUUGGCGCCCCGGCCUUCGGUCGGUUAUUUUUGGGCGCGGCUUUGUCCAGGCCUAUUUUUGGCACACGGAGAUGCCUCGCAAAAUCUCGCGCCAUUCCGAGUCCGGCGGAAGAAGUUGGCCAGCCCCACCCCCCAAGGCUAUAGCCCACCCGUUUUUGUGGCCUUUUUCCGCUGGACGAACUUCGCGCCCCGGCCUUCGGGCAUUUAUUUUUGGGUGCGGCCUUGGCCGCGGCCUACUUUUGGCCCACGGAGGCGCCUCGCAAAGUCUCGCGCCAUUCCGAGUCCGGCGGACGAUGUUGGCCAGUCCCACCCCCCAGGCUAUAGCCCACCCGUUUUUGUGGCCUUUUUCCGCUGGACGAACUUGGCGCCCCGGCCUUCGGGCGGUUAUUUUUGGGCGCAUCUGUGUCCGCGGCCUAUUUUUGGCACAUGGAGGCGCCUCGCAAAGUCUCGCGCCAUUCCUAGUCCAGCGGACGAAGUUGGCCAGCCCCACCCCCCAAGCCUAUAGCCCACCCGUUUUUGUGGCCUUUUUCCACACGACGAACUUGGCGCCCCAGCCGUCGGGCGGUUUUUUUUGGGCGCGGCUGUACCAGCGGCCUAUUUUUGGCACACGGAGGCACCUCGCAAAGUCUUGCGCCAUUCUGAGUCCGGCGGACGAAGUUGGCCAGCCCCACGCCCAAAGGCUAUUGCCCACCCGUUUUUGUGGCCUUUUUCCACAGGACGAACUUGGCGCCCCGGCCUUCGGGUGGUUAUAUUUGGGAAUGGCUGUGCCCGCGGCCUAUUUUUGGCACACGGAGGCGGCUCGCAAUGUCUCGCGCCAUUACGAGUCCGGCGGACGAAGUUGUCCAGCCCCACCCACCAAGGCUAUAGCCCACCCGUUUUUGUGGCCGUUUUCCGCUGGACGAACUUGUCGCCACGGCCUUCAGGCGGUUAUUUUUGGGCGUGGCUGUGGCCGCGGCCUAUUAUUGGCACACGGAGGUGCCUCGCAAAAUCUCGCGCCAUUCCGAGUCCGGCGGACGAAGUUGGCCAGCCCCACCCACCAAGGCUAUAGCCCACCCGUUUUUGUGGCCUUUUUCCGCUGGACGAACUUGGCGCCCCGGCCUUCGGGCGGUUAUUUUUAUGCGCGGCUGUGUCCGCGGCCUAUUUUUGGCACAUGGAGGCGCCACGCAAAGUCUCGCACCAUUCCGAGUCCGGCGGACGAAGUUGGCCAGCCCCACCCCCCAAGGCUAUAGCCCACCCGUUUUUGUGGCCUUUUUCCACUGGACGAACUUGGCGCCCCGGCCUUCGGGCGGUUAUUUUUGGGCGCGGCUGUGCCCGCGGCCUAUUUUUGGCACACGGAGGCGCCUCGCAAAGUCUCGCGCCAUUCCGAGUCCGGCGGACGAAGUUGGCCAGCCCCACCCCCCAAGGCUAUAGCCCACCCGUUUUUGUGGCCUUUUUCCGCUGGACGAACUUGGCGCCCCGGCCUUCGGGCGGUUAGUUUUGGGCGCGGCUGUGCCCGUGGCGUAUUUUUAGCACACGGACGUGCCUCGCAAUGUCUCGCGCCAUUCCUAGUCCGGCGGACGAAGUUGGCCAGCCCCACAACCAAAGGCUAUAGCCCACCCGUUUUUGUGGGGUUUUUCCGCUGGACGAACUUGGCGCCCCGGCCUUCGGGCGGUUAUUUUUGGGCGCGGCUGUGCCCGCAGCCUAUUUUUGGCACACGGAGGCACCUCGCAAAGUCUCGCGCCAUUCCGAGUCUGGCGGACGAAGUGGGCCAGCCCCACCCCCCAAGGCUAUAGCCCACCCGUUUUUGUGGCCUUUUUCCGCUGGACGAACUUGGCGCCCCGGCCUUCGGGCGGUUAUUUUUGGGCGCGGCUGUGCCCGCGGCCUAUUUUUGGCACACGGAGGCGCCUCGCAAACUCUCGCGCCAUUCCGAGUCCGACGGACGAAGUUGGCCAGCCCCAGCCCCCAAGGCUAUAGCCCUCCCGUGUUUGUGGCCUUUUUCCGCUGGACGAACUUGGCGUCCCGGCCUUCGGGUGGUUAUUAUAGGAUGCGGCUGUGCCCGUGGCCUAUUUUUGGCACAUGCAGGUGCCUCGCAAAGUCUGGGGCCAUUCCGAGUCCGGCGGACGAAGUUGGCCAGCCCCACCCCCCAAGGAUAUAGCCCACCCGUUUUUGUGGCCUUUUUCCGCUGGACGAACUUGGCGCCCCGGCCUUCGGGCGGUUAUUUUUGGACGCGGCUGUGCCCGUGGCCUGUUUUUGGCACAUGGAGGUGCCUCGCAAAGUCUCACACCAUUCCGAGUCCGACGGACGAAGUUGGCCAGCCCCACCCCCCAAGGCUAUAGCCCACCCGUUUUUGUGGCCUUUUUCCGCUGGACGAACUUGGCGCCCCGGCCUUCGGGUGGUUAUUUUUGGGCACGGCUGUGACCGUGGCCUAGUUUUGGCACACGGAGGUGCCUCGCAAAGUCUCGCGCCAUUCCGAGUCCGGCGGACGAUGUUGGCCAGCCCCACCCCCCAAGCCUAUAGCCCACCCGUUUUUGUGGCCUUUUUCGACUCGACGAACUUGGCGCCCCAGCCGUCGGGCGGUUAUUUUUGGGCGCGGCUGUACCAGCGGUGUAUUUUUGGCACACGGAGGUGCCUCGAAAAGUCCUGCGCCAUUCUGAGUCCGGCGGACGAAGUUGGCCAGCCCCACGCCCCAAGGCUAUUGCCCACCCUUUUUUGUGGCCUUUUUCCACAGGACGAACUUGGCGCCCCGGCCUUCGGGUGGUUAUAUUUGGGAACGACUGUGCCCACGGCCUAUUUUUGGCACACGGAGGCGCCUCGCAAUGUCUCGCGCCAUUACGAGUCCGGCGGACGAAGUUGGCCAGCCCCACCCACCAAGGCUAUAGCCCACCCGUUUUUGUGGCCUUUUUCCGCUAGACGAACUUGUCGCCCCGGCCUUCAGGCGGUUAUUUUUGGGUUCGGCUGUGCCCGCGGCCUAUUAUUGGCACACGGAGGCGCCUCGCAGAGUCUCGCACCAUUCCGAGUCCGGCGGACGAAGUUGGCCAGCCCCACCCACCAAGGCUAUAGGCCACCCGUUUUUGUGGCCUUUUUCCGCUGGACGAACUUGGCGCCCCGGCCUUCGGGCGGUUAUUUUUAUGCGCGGCUGUGUCCGCGGCCUAUUUUUGGCGCACGGAGGCACCUCGCAAAGUCUCGCACCAUUCCGAGUCCGGCGGACGAAGUUGGCCAGCCCCAUCCCCCAAGGCUAUGGCCCACCCGUUUUUGUGACUUUUUUCCACUGGACGAACUUGGCGCCCCGGCCUUCGGGCGGUUAUUUUUUGGCGCGGCUGUGCCCGCGGCCUAUUUUUGGCACACGGAGGUGCCUAGCAAAGUCUCACGCCAUUCCGAGUCCUGCGGAAGAAGUUGGCCUGCCCCACCCCCCAAGGCUAUGGCCAACCCAUUUUUGUGGCCUUUUUCCGCUGGACGAACUUGGCGCCCCGGCCUUCGGGUGGUUAUUUUUUGGAGCAGCUGUGCCCACGGCCUGUUUUUUGCACACGGAGGCCCCUCGCAAAGUCUCGCGCCAUUCCGAGUCCGGCGGACGAUGUUGGCCAGCCCCACCCCCCAAGGCUAUAUCCCACCCGAUUUUGUGGCCUUUUUCCACUGGACGAACUUGGCGCCCCGGCCUUCGGGUGGUUAUUUUUGGGCGCGGCGGUGCCCGCGGCCUAUUUUUGGCACACGGAGGCCCCUCGCAAAGUCUCGCUCCAUUCCGAGUCCGGCGCACGAAGUUGGCCAGCCCCACCCCCCAAGGCUAUGGCCCACCCGUUUUUGUGGCCUUUUUCCGCUGGACGAACUUGGCGCCCCGGCCUUCGGGCUGUUAUUUUUUGGCGCGGCUAUGCCCGCGGCCUAUUUUUGGUACACGGAGGUGCCUCGCAAAGUCUCGCGCCAUUCCGGGUCCGGCGAACGAAGUUGGCCAGCCCCAACCCCCAAGCCUAUAGCCCACCCGUUUUUGUGGGCUUUUUCCGCUGGACGAACUUGGUGCCCCGGCCUUCGGGUGGUUAUUUUUUGGCGCGGCUGUGCCCGCGGCCUAUUUUUUACACACGGAGGCGCCUCGCAAAGUCUCGCGCCAUUCCGAGUCCGGCGGAAGAAGUUGGCCUGCCCCACCCCCCAAGGCUAUGGCCCACCCGUUUUUGUGGCCUUUUUCCGCUGGACGAACUUGGCGCCCCGGCCUUCGGGCGGUCAUUUUUGGGCGCGGCUGUGCCCACGGCCUAUUUUUAGCACACGGAGGUGCUUCGCAAAGUCUCGCGCCAUUCUGAGUCCGGCGGACGAAGUUGGCCAGCCCCACCCCCCAAGGCUAUAGCCCACCCGUUUUUGUGGGCUUUUUCCGCUGGACGAACUUGGCGCCCCGGCCUUUGGGUGGUUAUUUUUGGGUACGGCUGUGCCCGCAGCCUAUUUUUGGCAGAUGGAGGAACCUCACAAAGUCUCACGCCAUUCCGAGUCCGGCGGACGAAGUCGGCCAGCCCCACCCCGCAAGGAUAUAGCCCACCCGUUUUUGUGGCUUUUUUCCACUGGACGAACUUGGCGCCCCGACCUUCGGGCGGUUAUUUUUUGUCGCGGCUGUGCCCGCGGCCUAUUUUUGGCACACGGAGGCGCCUAGCAAAGUCUCGCGCCAUUCCGAGUCCGGCGGAAGAAGUUGGCCUGCCCCAUCCCCCAAGGCUAUGGCCAACCCGUUUUUGUGGCCUUUUUCCGCUGGACGAACUUGGCGCCCCGGCCUUCGGGCAGUUAUUUUUUGGCACGGCUGUGCCCACGGCCUGUUUUUGGCACACGGCGGCGCCUCGUAAAGUCUCGCGCCAUUCCGAGUCCGGCGGACGAAGUCGGCCAGCCCCACCCCCCAAGGCUAUAGCCCACCCGUUUUUGUGGGCUUUUUCCGCUGGACGAACUUGGCGCCCCGGCCUUUGGGCGGUUAUUUUUUGGCGCGGCUGUGCCCGCGGCCUACUUUUGGCACACGGAGGCGCCUCACAAAGUCUCGCGCCAUUCCGAGUCCGGCGGAGGAAGUUGGCCUGCCCCAUCCCCCAAGGCUAUGGCCCACCCAUUUUUGUGGUCUUUUUCCGCUGGACGAACUUGGCGCGCCAGCCUUCGGGCGGUUAUUUUUGGUGCGGCUUUGCCCACGGGCUAUUUUUGGCACACGGAGGCACCUCGCAAAGUCUCGCGCCAUUCUGAGUCCGGCGGACGAUGUUGGCCAGCCCCACCCCCCAAGGCUAUAGCCCACCCGUUUUUGUGGCCUUUUUCCGCUGGACGAACUUGGCGCCCCGGCCUUCGGGCGGUCAUUUUUGGGCGCGGCUGUGCCCACGGCCUAUUUUUAGCACACGGAGGUGCCUCGCAAAGUCUCACGCCAUUCUGAGUCCGGCGGACGAAGUUGGCCAGCCCCACCCCCCAAGGCUAUAGCCCACCCGUUUUUGUGGGCUUUUUCCGCUGGACGAACUUGGCGCCCCGGCCUUUGGGUGGUUAUUUUUGGGUACGGCUGUGCCCGCAGCCUAUUUUUGGCAGAUGGAGGAACCUCACAAAGUCUCACGCCAUUCCGAGUCCGGCGGACGAAGUCGGCCAGCCCCACCCCGCAAGGAUAUAGCCCACCCGUUUUUGUGGCUUUUUUCCACUGGACGAACUUGGCGCCCCGACCUUCGGGCGGUUAUUUUUUGUCGCGGCUGUGCCCACGGCCUAUUUUUGGCACAUGGAGGCGCCUAGCAAAGUCUCGCGCCAUUCCGAGUCCGGCGGAAGAAGUUGGCCUGCCCCACCCCCCAAGGCUAUGGCCAACCCGUUUUUGUGGCCUUUUUCCGCUGGACGAACUUGGCGCCCCGGCCUUCGGGCAGUUAUUUUUUGGCGCGGCUGUGCCCACGGCCUGUUUUUGGCACACGGAGGUGCCUUGUAAAGUCUCGCGCCAUUCCGAGUCCGGCGGACGAAGUCGGCCAGCCCCACCCCCCAAGGCUAUAGCCCACCCGUUUUUGUGGGCUUUUUACGCUGGACGAACUUGGCGCCCCGGCCUUCGGGCGGUUAUUUUUUGCCGCGACUGUGCCCGCAGCCUAUUUUUGUCACACGGAGGCGCCUCGCAAUGUCUCGCGCCAUUCCGAGUCCGGCGGAUGAAGUUCGUCGGCCCCACCCCCCAAGGCUAUAUCCCACCCGUUUUUGUGGCCUUUUUCCACUGGACGAACUUGGCGCCCCGGCCUUUGGGUGGUUAUUUUUGGGCGCGGCGGUGCCCGCGGCCUAUUUUUGGCACUCGGAGGCCCCUCGCAAAGUCUCGCGCCAUUCGGAGUCCGGCGCACGAAGUUGGCCAGCCCCACCCCCCAAGGCUAUGGCCCACCGUUUUUGUGGCCUUUUUCCGCUGGACGAACUUGGCGCACCGGCCUUCGGGCGGUUAUUUUUUGGCGCGGCUGUGCCCGCGGCCUAUUUUUGGCACACGGAGGUGCCUCGCAAAGUCUCGCGCCAUUCCGGGUCCGGCGGACGAAGUUGGCCAGCCUCAACCCCCAAGGCUAUAGCCCACCUGUUUUUGUGGGCUUUUUCCGCUGGACGAACUUGGUGCCCCGGCCUUCGGGCGGUUAUUUUUUGGCGCAGCUGUGCCCGCGGCCUAUUGUUGGCACAUGGAGGCGCCUCGCAAAGUCUCGCGCCAUUCCGGGUCCGGCGGACGAAGUUGGCCAGCCUCAACCCCCAAGGCUAUAGCCCACCUGUUUUUGUGGGCUUUUUCCGCUGGACGAACUUGGUGCCCCGGCCUUCGGGGGGUUAUUUUUUGGCGCGGCUGUGCCCGCGGCCUAUUUUUGGCACACGGAGGCAUCUCGCAAAGUCUCGCGCCAUUCCGAGUCCGGCGGAAGAAGUUGGCCUGCCCCACCCCCCAAGGCUAUAUCCCACCCAUUUUUGUGGCCUUUUUCCACUGGACGAACUUGGAGCCCCGGGCUUCGGACGGUUAUUUUUGGGGGCGGCUGUGCCCGCGGCCUAUUUUUGGCACACGGAGGCGCCUCGCAAAGUCUCGCGCCAUUCCGAGUCCGGCGGACGAAGUUGGCCUGCCCACCCCCCAAGGCUAUGGCCCACCCGUUUUUGUGGCCUUUUUCCGCUGGACGAACUUGGCGCCCCGGCCUGCGGGUGGUUAUUUUUGGGCGCGGCUGUGCGCACGGCCUAUUUUUGGCACAUGGAGGAGCCUCGCAAAGUCUCGCGCCAUUCCGAGUCCGGCGGACGAAGUCGGCCAGCCCCACCCCCCAAGGCUAUUGCCCACCCGUUUUUGUGGCCUUUUUCCGCUGGACGAACUUGGCGCCCCGGCCUUCGGGCGGUUAUUUUUGGGCGCGGCUUUGCCCGUGGCCUACUUUUGGCACCUGGAGGUGCCUUGUAAAGUCUCGCGGCAUUCCUAUUCCGGCGACGAGGUUGGCCAGCCCCACCCCCCAAGGCUAUAGCCCACCCGUUUUUGUGGCCUUUUUCCGCUGGACAAACUUGGCGCCCCGGCCUUCGGGCGUUUAUUUUUGGGCGCGGCUUUGCCCGUGGCCUAUUUUUGGCACACGAAGGCCCCUCGCAAAGUCUCGUGGCAUUCCGAGUCCGGCUGCCGAAGUUGGCCGGCCCCACCACCAAGGCUAUAGCCGACCUGUUUUUGUGGCCUUUUUCCGCUGGACGAACUUGGCGCCCCGGCCUUCGGGCAUUUAUUUUUGAGCGCGGCUUUGACCGUGGCCUAUUUUUGGCACACGGAGGCACCUCGCAAAGUCUCGCGGUAUUCCGAGUCCGGCGGACGAGGUUGGCCAGCCCCACCCCCCAAGGCUAUACCCCACCCGUUUUUGUGGCCUUUUUCCUCUGGACGAACUUGGCGCCCCGGCCUUCGGGUGGUUAUUUUUGGGCGUGGCUUUGCCUGCGGCUUAUUUUUGGUACAAGGAGGCCCCUCGCAAAGUCUCGCGGCAUUCCGAGUCCGGCGGACGAAGUUGGCCAGCCCCACCACCCAAGGCUAUAGCCCACCCGUUUUUGUGGCCUUUUUCCGCUGGACGAACUUGGCGCCCCGGCCUUCGGGCGGUUAUUUUUGGGUACGGAUUUGACCGCACACUAUUUUUGGCACACGGAGGCCCCUCGUAAAGUCUCGCGGCAUUCCGAGUCCGGCGGACGAAGUUGGCCAGCCCCACCCACCAAGGCUAUUGCCCACCCAUUUUUGUGGCCUUUUUCCGCUGGACGAACUUGGCGCCCUGGCCUUCGGGCGGUUAUUUUUGGGCGCGGCUUUGCCCUCGGCCUAUUUUUGGCACACAGAGGACCCUCGCAAAGUCUCACGGUAUUCCGAGUCCGGCGGAUGAAGUUGGCCAUCCCCACCCCCCAAGGCUAUAGCCCACCCGUUUUUGUGGCCUUUUUCCGCUGGACGAACUUGGCGCCCCGGCCUUCGGGCGGUUAUUUUUGGGCGCGGGUUUGCCUGCGCCCUAUUUUUGGUACACGGGGGACCCUCGUAAAGUCUCGCGGCAUUCCGAGUCCGGCGGAUGAAGUUGGCCAGCCCCACCCCCCAAGGCUAUAGCCCACCCAUUUUUGUGGCCUUUUUCCGCUGUACGAACUUGGCGCCCCGGCCUUCGGGUGGUUAUUUUUGGGCGCGGCUUUGCCCGCGGCCUAUUUUUGGAACACGGAGGCCCCUCGCAAAGUCUCGCGGCUUUCCGAGUCCGGCGGACGAAGGUGGCCGGCCCCACCCCCAAGGCUAUAGCCCACCCGUUUUUAUGGCCUUUUUCCGCUGGACGAACUUGGCGUCCCGGCCUUCGGGUGGUUAUUUUUAGGCGCGGCUUUGCCUGCGGCCUAUGUUUGGCAAACGGAGGUGCCUCGCAAAGUCUCGCGCCAUUCCGAGUCCGGCGGACGAAGUCGGCCAGCCCCACCCCCCAAGGCUAUAGCCCACCCGUUUUUGUGGCCUUUUUCCGCUGGACGAACUUGGCGCCCCGGCCUUCGGGGGGUUAUUUUUGGGCGCGGCUGUGCCCGCGGCCUAUUUUUGGCAAACGGAGGCGCCUCGUAAACUCUCGCGCCAUUCCGAGUCCGGCGGACGAAGUGGGCCAGCCCCACCCCCCAAGGCUAUAGCCCACCCGUUUUUGUGGCCUUUUUCCGCUGGACGAAGUUGGCGCCCCGGCCUUCGGGCUGUUAUUUUUUGGCACGGCUGUGUCCGCAGCCUAUUUAUGGCAAACGGAGGCACCUCGCAAAGUCUCGCGCCAUUCCGAGUCCGGCGGACGAAGUUGGCCAGCACCACCCCCAAAGGCUAUAGCCCACCCGUUUUUGUGGCCUUUUUCCGCUGGACGAACUUGGCGCCCCGGCCUUCGGGGGGUUAUUUUUGGGCGCGGCUUUGUCCACGGCCUAUUUUUGGCACAGGGAGGCACCUCGCAAAGUCUCGCGCCAUUCCGAGUCCGGCGGACGAAGUUGGUCAGCCCCACCCCCCAAGGCUAUAGCCCACCCGUUUUUGUGGCCUUUUUCCGCUGGACGAACUUGGCGCCCCGGCCUUCGGGCGGUUAUUUUUGGGCGCGGCUGUGCCCGCGGCCUAUUUUUGGCACACGGAGGCACCUCGCAAAGUCUCGCGCCAUUCCGAGUCCGGCGGACGAAGUCGGCCCGCCCCACCCCCCAAGGCUAUAGCCCACCCGUUUUUGUGGCCUUUUUCCGCUGGACGAACUUGGCGCCCCGGCCUUCGGGCGGUUAUUUUUGGGCGCGACUGUACCCGCGGCCUAUUUUUGGCACACGGACGCGCCUCGCCAAGUCUCGCGCCAUUCCGAGUCCGGCGGACGAUGUUGGCCAGCCCCACCCCCCAAGGCUAUAGCCCACCCGUUUUUGUGGCCUUUUUCCGCUGGAUGAACUUGGCGCCCCGGCCACCGGGCUGUUAUUUUUGGGCGCGGCUUUUUCCGCGGCCUAUUUUUGGCACACGGAGGACCAUCGCAAAGUCUCACGGUAUUCCGAGUCGGGCGGACAAAUUUGGCCAGCCCCACCCCCCAAGGCUAUAGCCCACCCGUUUUUGUGGCCUUUUUCCACUGGACAAACUUGGCGCCCCGGCCUUCGGGCGGUUAUUUUUGGGCGCGGCUGUGCCCGCGGCCUAUUUUUGGCACACGGAGGCAGCUCGCAAAGUCUCACGCCAUUCCGAGUCCGGCGGACGAAGUCGGCCCACCCCACCCCCCAAGGUUAUAGCCCACCCGUUUUUGUGGCGUUUUUCAGCUGGACGAACUUGGCGCCCCGGCCUUCGGGCCGUUAUUUUUGGGCGCGGCUGUUCCUGCGGCCUAUUUUUGGCACACGGAGGUGCCUUGCAAAGUCUCGCGCCAUUCCGAGUCCGGCGGACGAAGUUGGCCAGCCCCACCCCCCAAGGCUAUAGCCCACCCGUUUUUGUGGCCUUUUUCCGCUGGACGAACUUGGCGCCCCGGCCUUCGGGCAGUUAUUUUUGGGCGUGGCUUUGCCUGCGGCCUAUUUUUGGUACAAGGAGGCCCCUCGCAAAGUCUCGCGGCAUUCCGAGUCCGGCGGACGAAGUGGGCCAGCCCCACCCCCCAAGGCUAUAGCCCACACGUUUUUGUGGCCUUUUUCCGCUCGACGAACUUGGCGUCCCGGCCUUUGGGCAGUUAUUUUUGGGCGCGGCUGUGCCCGUGGCCUAUUUUUGGCACACAGAGGUGCCUCGUAAAGUCUCGCGCCAUUCCGAGUCCGGCGGACUAAGUUGGCCAGGCCCACCCCCCAAGGCUAUAGCCCACCCGUUUUUGUGGCGUUUUUCAGCUGGACGAACUUGGCGACCCGGCCUUCGGGCCGUUAUUUUUGGGCGCGGCUGUUCCUGCGGCCUAUUUUUGGCACACGGAGGUGCCUCGCAAAGUCUCGCGCCAUUCCGAGUCCGGCGGACGAAGUUGGCCAGCCCCACCACCCAAGGCUAUAGCCCACCCGUUUUUGUGGCCUUUUUCCGCUGGACGAACUUGGCGCCCCGGCCUUCGGGCGGUUAUUUAUGGGCAUGGCUGUGCCCGCGGCCUAUUUUUUGCACACGAAGGCACCUCGCAAAGUCUCGUGCCAUUCCGUGUCCGGCGGACGAAGUUGGCGAGCCCCACCCCCCAAGGCUAUAGCCCACACGUUUUUGUGGCCUUUUUCCGCUCGACGAACUUGGCGUCCCGGCCUUUGGGCAGUUAUUUUUGGGCGCGGCUGUGCCCGUGGCCUAUUUUUGGCACACAGAGGUGCCUCGUAAAGUCUCGCGCCAAUCCGAGUCCGGCGGACUAAGUUGGCCAGGCCCACCCCCCAAGGCUAUAGCCCACCCGUUUUUGUGGCCUUUUUCCGCUAGACGAACUUGGCGCCCCGGCCUCCGGGCGUUUAUUUUUGGGCGUGGCUUUGUCCGCGGCCUAUUUUUGGCACACCGUGGCACCUCGCAAGGUCUCGCUCCAUUCCGAGUCCGGCGGACGAAGUUGGCCAGCCCCAACCCCCAAGGCUAUAGCCCACCCGUUUUUGUGGGCUUUUUCGGUUGGACGAACUUGGCGCCCCGGCCUUCGGGCGGUUAUUUUUGGGCAUGACUGUGCCCGCGGCCUAUUUUUGGCACACGAAGGCACCUCGCAAAGUCUCGUGCCAUUCCGUGUCCGGCGGACGAAGUUGGCGAGCCCCACCCCCCAAGGCUAUAUCCCACACGUUUUUGUGGCCUUUUUCCGCUGGACGAACUUGGCGCCCCGGCCUUCGGGCCGUUGUUUUUGGGCGCGGCUGUUCCCGCGGCCUAUUUUUGGCACACGGAGGUGCCUCGCAAAGUCUCGCGCCAUUCCGAGUCCGGCGGACGAAGUUGGCCAGCCCCACCCCCCAAGGCUAUAGCCCACCCGUUUUUGUGGCCUUUUUCCGCUGGACGAACUUGGCGCCCCGGCCUUCGGGCGGUUAUUUUUGGGCGCGGCUUUGUCCGCGGCGUAUUUUUGGCACACGGAGGCCCCUCACAAAGUCUCGCGCCAUUCCGAGUCCGGCGGACGAAGUUGGCCAGCCCCACCCCCCAAGGCUAUAGCCCACCCGUUUUUGUGGCCUUUUUCCGCUGGACGAACUUGGCGCCCCGGCCUUCGGGCGGUUAUUUUUGGGCGCGGCUUUGUCCGCGGCGUAUUUUUGGCACACGGAGGCCCCUCACAAAGUCUCGCAGCAUUCCGAGUCCGGCGGACGAACUUGGCCAGCCCCACCCCCCAAGGCUAUAGCCCACCCGUUUUUGUGGACUUUUUCCGCUGGACGAACUUGGCGCCCCGGCCAUCGGGCAGUGAUUUUUGGACGUCGCUUUUCCUGCGGCCUAUUUUUGGCACACGGAGGCCCCUUACAAAGUCUCGCGGCAUCCCGAGUCCGGCGGACGAAGUUGGCCAGCCCCACCCCCCAAGGCUAUAGCCCACCUGUUUUUGUGCCCUUUUUCCGCUGGACGAACUUGGCGCCCCGGCCUUCGGGUGGUUAUUUUUGUGCGCGGCUUUGCCCGCGGUAUAUUUUUGGCACACGUAGGUCCCUCGCAAAGUCUCGCGGCAUUCCGAGUCCGGCGGACGAAGGUUGCCAGCCCCACCCCCCAAGGCUAUAGCCCACCCGUUUUUGUGGCCUUUUUCCGCUGGACGAACUUGGCGCCCCGGGCUUCGGGCGGUUAUUUUUGGGCGCAGCUUUGGCCGCGGCCUAUUUUUGGCACACGGAGGCCCCUCGCAAAGUCUCGCCCCAUUCCGAGUCCGGCGGACGAAGUUGGCCAGCCCCACCCCCCAAGGCUAUAGCCCACCCGUUUUUGUGGCCUUUUUCCGCUGGACGAACUUCGCGCCCCGGCCUUCGGGCGGUUAGUUUUGGGCGUGGCUUUGACCACGGCCUAUUUUUUGCACACGGAGGCCCCUCGCAAAGUCUCGCGCCAUUCCGAGUCCGGCGGACAAAGGUUACCAGCCCCACCCCCCAAGGCUAUAGCCCACCCGUUUUUGUGGCCUUUUUCCGCUGGACGAACUUGGCGCCCCGGCUUUGGGGCGUUUAUUUUUGGGCACGGUUUGGCCACGGACUAUUUUUUUCACACGGAGGCCCCUCGCAAAGUCUCGGCCCAUUCCGAGUCCGGCGGACGAAGUUGGCCAGCCCCACCCCCCAAUGCUAUAGCCCACCCGUUUUUGUGGCCUUUUUCCGCUGGACGAACUUGGCGCCCCGGCCUUCGGGCGGUUAUUUUUGGGCGCAGCUUUGUCCGCGGCCUAUUUCUGCCACACGAAGGCCCCUCGCAAAGUCUCUCGGCAUUCCGAGUCCGGCGGACGAAGUUGGCCAGCCCCACCCGCCAAGGCUAUAGCCAACCCGUUUUUGUAGCCUUUUUCCGCUGGGCGAACUUGGCGCCCCGGCCUUCGGGCGGUUAUUUUUGGGCGCGGCUUUGCCCGCGGCCUAUUUUUGGCACACGGAGGCCCCUCGCAAAGUCUCGCGCCAUUCCGAGUCCGGCGGACGAAGUGGGCCAGCCCCACCCCCCAAGGCUAUAGCCCACCCGUUUUUGUGGCCUUUUUCCGCUGGACGAACUUGGCGCCCCGGCCAUCAGGCAGUGAUUUUUGGACGUCGCUUUUCCUGCGGCCUAUUUUUGGCACACGGAGGCCCCUUACAAAGUCUCGCGGCAUCCCGAGUCCGGCGGACG